AUGAACGCUGGCGGCGUGCCUAAUACAUGCAAGUAGAACGCUGAAGGAGGAGCUUGCUCUUCUGGAUGAGUUGCGAACGGGUGAGUAACGCGUAGGUAACCUGCCUGGUAGCGGGGGAUAACUAUUGGAAACGAUAGCUAAUACCGCAUGACAACAGUUAUUGCAUGAUAACUGUUUAAAAGGGGCAACUGCUCCACUACCAGAUGGACCUGCGUUGUUUUAGCUAGUUGGUGAGGUAACGGCUCACCAAGGCGACGAUACAUAGCCGACCUGAGAGGGUGAUCGGCCACACUGGGACUGAGACACGGCCCAGACUCCUACGGGAGGCAGCAGUAGGGAAUCCUCGGCAAUGGACGGAAGUCUGACCGAGCAACGCCGCGUGAGUGAAGAAGGUUUUCGGAUCGUAAAGCUCUGUUGUAAGAGAAGAACGAGUGUGAGAGUGGAAAGUUCACACUGUGACGGUAUCUUACCAGAAAGGGACGGCUAACUACGUG
rnacentral:rRNA from 1 species